rnacentral:hammerhead_ribozyme from 1 species
AUCCAGCUGACGAGUUCCAAGUAGGACGAAACGCUCGUCUUGGUU